rnacentral:sRNA from 1 species
AGAGAGUCGAAGGACUGAGAAGUGAAGAUGAAGCGUACAGGAUAGAUUGAAUGUAUUCGGAAGGAUAAUAAUCCACAGGGGAAGAGCGAAAUUCCCUAUCCUCGAAAUGGCAUGAGAGGAGAUAGCAGAGCAAAAAAGCAAAGCGUCGUGAACGCCAAGAGCGGCUUGUCUGUAAUUCCCGGUGUACUGGGCGAUGAGGAGAUUUCAAAGGAAAUCAAGUACACAUACA